UCCUACGGGAGGCAGCAGUGGGGAAUCUUAGACAAUGGGGGCAACCCUGAUCUAGCCAUGCCGCGUGAGUGAUGAAGGCCUUAGGGUCGUAAAGCUCUUUCGCCUGUGAUGAUAAUGACAGUAGCAGGUAAAGAAACCCCGGCUAACUCCGUGCCAGCAGCCGCGGUAAUACGGAGGGGGUUAGCGUUGUUCGGAAUUACUGGGCGUAAAGCGCGCGUAGGCGGAUUAGAAAGUUGGGGGUGAAAUCCCGGGGCUCAACCCCGGAACUGCCUCCAAAACUGCUAGUCUAGAGUUCGAGAGAGGUGAGUGGAAUUCCGAGUGUAGAGGUGAAAUUCGUAGAUAUUCGGAGGAACACCAGUGGCGAAGGCGGCUCACUGGCUCGAUACUGACGCUGAGGUGCGAAAGUGUGGGGAGCAAACAGGAUUAGAUACCCUGGUAGUCCACACCGUAAACGAUGAAUGCCAGUCGUCGGGUAGUAUACUAUUCGGUGACACACCUAACGGAUUAAGCAUUCCGCCUGGGGAGUACGGUCGCAAGAUUAAAACUCAAAGGAAUUGACGGA
rnacentral:rRNA from 1 species